UUAUUUGAUGAUGUUUUUAUACAUCCAUGACAUUUUGAAACUAUUCGUAGCUUUAUGUUCUAGGUUUUGGAUGUAAUGUUGCUUCUCGUCCUCUUGCCAUUCCAUAAGUUUUUCUUUUAACAAGAAAUUAAUUAUCCAAGUGUAGGAAGAUUUGUUAACAAGAAAUUGGUCACCAGUUGUUGGAAGAUUUUAAAUCUGAAAAUAUUUUAUUUUUAGUGAAUGAUAUUUUUCAAAGCAGUCAAACCACAUCAUAAACAACAUUCAAACUCACUUAACUUGAAUACUGUGUUAUCUUGAAGUUCUGCCAUGGUCCCCUGAGUUCAAGAUAACAAAGUUUGACUGUAUUUUCAUGAUCAAUAUUUGAUAUUGGCUGUAUCAUACAGGAACAUUUGUCUGCUGUCCCAGUUUAAAACUUGCCUUAUCAAAGGGGAGAAGCUGAAGUACUGAAUAUAACCUUAACACUGAUCUGAUAUAUAUAUUGACUGAUUCAAAUGAGAAAAUCAUUUUCUUAAGUAAGUUUUUUUUUAAAUUUUUUUUGUAUUCCCUUCUUCAAAAUCCUGGGAAGAGUCUUGAAAGUCUAUUCUGUUCUUUGUUCUGCGUUCCUUGUCUUCAAUUCUUCAUUGUUUUUGCUUCCUGAUUUCACACACACCUUGUAUGUAUUACCACUGUAUGGUACACCAUGUACCAUUACCCUUGCCCAAGGUCAGAGGUCAACGUUUGUGAUUCAGAGACAGAUCUGGCCUAAUAUCACCUUGUUUUAGGUAAAUCUUAUUUGUUACACAGUUAUUACCUCCAAAGAGUGUGCUGCAUUGUACCUAAAGUCAUGGUAUAACCUACACUGAUUUAAUGUCAUCCAGGGCAAUGUCAUUGUUUCACUUCAUUUUCAGAGACUGACAGAGAAGUAUUUUCUGUUGUAAAUAGGAGCAUCAAUGUUUUUGCAAUACAUGUAUAUUUGAAAUAACUUUCUGCAUACAUAUAUUUAAAAAAAAAAUUGUAUAUUCUGUACGUAAAAUUUAUGUUUAUAGAGAGCUGUUAAAGUUGUAUCUCAGCAGUUCAUGUAUAAAUACGUUUUUAUGAAUUUGAUUCUGGAAGCUUAACAGGUAAAAUCAGAUUCUAAUUGUUUUAAUUAGGGGGUUUUAAUUCUAUCAUAAAAAAGCAAAUUAAAGAAUAUUUAGUGUUUAAUUAAUAGAAAUAUGAUUAAUUACUUCAGCAGUGUAAACAAAGAAAUGCUUUACAAAGCAUAAAAUAUAUAUUGUUUAUCCUCUCAUCUCUCUUCAGCCCCAAAAUAUUAAAUGAAUGUUGAAAAUUUGAAGUCUUCUUGAAUUCAACAUGAAUUUAACUACAGGUAAAUCAUAUCCAUUAGCAAUCUCAAUUCUCUGCCUAAGUUUAUCGGAAUUUUCAUGUUUUUAUAACAAUUGGAAACAAUCAAUCCCAAAUAUAAUUGAAAUAAGUUUCUCACUGGUACCCUAAAAUAUUGUUAAAAGCUAUCACUGGUACCCUAAAAUAUUGUUAAAAGCUAUCACUGGUACCCUAAAAUAUUGUUAAAAGCUAUCACUGGUACCCUAAAAUAUUGUUAAAAGCUAUCACUGGUACCCUAAAAUAUUGUUAAAAGCUAUCACUGGUACCCUAAAAUAUUGUUAAAAGCUAUCACUGGUACCCUAAAAUAUUGUUAAAAGCCAUCACUGGUACCCUAAAAUAUUGUUAAAAGCUAUCACAGGUACCCUAAAAUAUUGUUAAAAGCUAUCACUGGUACCCUAAAAUAUUGUUAAAAGCUAUCACUGGUACCCUAAAAUAUUGUUAAAAGCUAUCACUGGUACCCUAAAAUAUUGUUAAAAGCCAUCACUGGUACCCUAAAAUAUUGUUAAAAGCUAUCACAGGUACCCUAAAAUAUUGUUAAAAGCUAUUACUGGUACCCUUAAAUCUUGUUUAAAGCUAUCACUGGUACCCUAAAAUCUUGUUAAAAGCUACCAUUAUUUAAAUGUCACCUGAAUCAUAUUUACUAUACAAGGUGACCUUCACUACCAAAUUACCAUUUUCUUGAUCAUUAAGAAUAAAUCUUACCUAUCUCAUCAACACAGAUGUUGUUAACAAUGAGAAUUUCCUAUUUCCCCAGAAUUUACAACACAGAUGUUGUUAACAAUGAGAAUUUCCUAUUUCUCCAGAAUUAACAACACAGAUGUUGUUAACAAUGAGAAUUUCCUAUUUCUCCAGAAUUAACAACACAGAUGUUGCUAACAAUGAGAAUUUCCUAUUUCUCCAGACUUAACAACACAGAUGCUGUUAACAAUGGGAGGUUUCCUAGAGUUGACAACACAGAUGUUGUUAACAAUGGGAGGUUUCCUACUUCUCCAGAAUUAACAACACAGAUGAUGUUAACAAUGGGAGGUUUCCUAUUUCUCCAGGGUUAACAACACUGAUGUUGUUAACAAUGGGAGAUUUCCUAGAGUUAACAACACAGAUGUUGUUAACAAUGGGAGGUUUCCUAGAGUUAACAACACAGAUGUUGUUAACAAUGAUAGCUUUCCUAUUUCUCCAGGGUUAACAACACAGAUGACAUAGAUAAGAAUGGAUACAAGAGUUAAAAUAAAUAUAUAUAAGAUAACAAUAUAUCACAAUAAAUAUAACAGAUAACAAAAGAUUGUUUUUCCAAAUAUGAAGGGUUUUUUAGGAUAAUUGUAUUAUGAAAGGAACUUUUUGUAUUUAAGAAAAACAUUGUUAUUACAACAGUAAAAUUUUGGUUUUUCCUAUUGUUGCGAUUCAACAUGGAAUAUUUUGUUUUUAUAUGUUUCUGACACAGAAGGAGGUAGAUAGCAUUGACAGGUCACCACUGAUGUGAUUAUUGUAUAGGAUAUGGCAAUAUAUGAUUACAUUGUCCUUGUGAGAAAUGUUCAAUUCUAAACCUUUGUGUAACUAGAGAAUAAACUUACCUGUACACAAAGUUAUCAGUCCCGUAACACAAUGCAAAGAAUAUUCAAAUGUUUUAAAUUAAAUUGUGACUGCCAAAAAUGUAUUGUAGUACUGAAUAUCAGUAUGUACUUUAAAUGUAUCUUUUAUCUACAAAUAAUUAUCAUGGCUGUUCAUUAUAUUGUUAAGGAAAGUUAUUAGUGCUGCACUGGGAACCAGAGCUGACUAGUUUUGUCUGUCCAUCCUUCCUCUAUCUCAUCCAGGAUCUCUCUCAUACACUACAUAUCACAGGUCACUCUGACCAACAUUUUUUACCUUUGACCUUCAUCACAGAAAACUUUUGUUUGAACUCUAUCUCCUACACUACUGGUCACUAAAGCUUCUUACUUUGGGUACAUGGUCCCCUUGGCUAGUGUCAUGUAUCAAAUGUUGGUCACUCUGAUCAAUAAUUUGACCUUUGACAUUCAUCAAAGAAAAAGAUAGGCGAUAUCUCCUACACUACUAGUCACAGGGCCUUCCUACUUGGUGUAUGGGUUCAUCCUGACUGGGUGUCAGGUUCACCUUGACUGUGUGUCACCUUGACUGUGUGUCAGGUUCACCUUGACUGUGUGUCACCUUGACUGUGUGUCAGGUUCACCUUGACUGUGUGUCAGGUUCACCUUGACUGUGUGUCGGGUUCACUUUGACUGUGUGUCACCUUGACUGUGUGUCACCUUGACUGUGUGUCGGGUUCACCUUGACUGUGUGUCACCAUGACUGUGUGUCAGGUUCAACUUGACUGUGUGUCACCUUGACUGUGUGUCGGGUUCACCUUGACUGUGUAUCGGGUUCACCUUGACUGGGUGUCAGGUUCACCUUGAUUUUGUGUAAGGUUCACCUUGACUGUGUGUCACCUUGACUGUGUGUCAGGUUCAACUUGACUGUGUGUAAGGUUCACCUUGACUGUGUGUCACCUUGACUGGGUGUCAGGUUCACCUUGACAGUGUGUAAGGUUCACCUUGACUGUGUGUAAGGUUCACCUUGACUGUGUGUCACCUUGACUGUGUGUCAGGUUCACCUUGACUGUGUGUCACCUUGACUGUGUGUCGGGUUCACCUUGACUGUGUAUCGGGUUCACCUUGACUGGGUGUCAGGUUCACCUUGAUUGUGUGUAAGGUUCACCUUGACUGUGUGUUGGUGGGGGACUAAUGCCCUGAGUUGUGUUGUUUUAAUGUAGUGUUACACUUUCCUUACUGAAUAUUUUGAAGUUCAUAAAGGGUUUUCAUUCUUUUAUAAUUUGAUAUUUUAAUUUUGUGUUCAUUGUCAUAUAGACAUCUUUUUCAGUAUUAGGUGACAUUAUUAAGACCAUUCCUGGAUGUUUUGAUCUGUUCUCUGUACUCUUUUUCCUGACGUCAGUUCUGGUUUUUGUCUGACAUUGAUAAGGUGCUAUAUCAGUGUACCUUUAUAUUGGUUUUUUAUUAAGACAUCUGUGGGGUUUUAAACUUGUACUUUUUAUUGAUAUGACAUUUUAGCCAUGGGUAGAAAUGCUUAUGAGAUAAUUAUCAAAACUACUUGAGUGCCAUUGUCUGUUAUCAAAGCUACUUGAGUGCCUGUGUUUGUUACCAAAACUGCUCGAGUGCCAGUGUUUGUUAACAAAACUGCUUGAGUGCUGUAUUUGUUAACAAAACUACUCGAGUGCCAGUGUUUGUUAACAAAACUGCUUGAGUGCUGUGUUUGUUGACAAAACUACUUUAGUGCCAGUGUUUGUUAACAAAACUGCUUGAGUGCUGUGUUUGUUAACAAAACUACUCGAGUGCCAGUGUUUGUUAUCAAAAUUGCUUGAGUGGCUGUGUUUGUUAUCAAAACUACUCGAGUGCCAGUGUUUGUUAACAAAACUGCUUGAGUGCUGUGUUUGUUAUCAAAACUACUUGACUACCAGUGUUUGUUAACAAAACUGCUUGAGUGCUGUGUUUGUUAACAAAACUACUCGAGUGCUUGUGUUUGUUAUCAUAACUACUGGAGUACAAGUGUUUGUUAACAAAACUGCUCGAGUGCUGUGUUUGUUAUCAAAACUGCUUGAGUGGCUGUGUUUGUUAUCAAAACUGCUCGAGUGCCAGUGUUUGUUAACAAAACUGCUUGAGUGCUGUGUUUGUUAUCAAAACUACUUGAGUACCAGUGUUUGUUAACAAAACUGCUUGAGUGCUGUGUUUGUUAACAAAACUACUCGAGUGCCUGUGUUUGUUAUCAUAACUACUGGAGUACAAGUGUUUGUUAACAAAACUGCUCGAGUGCUGUGUUUGUUAUCAAAACUGCUUGAGUGGCUGUGUUUGUUAUCAAAACUGCUCGAGUGCCAGUGUUUGUUAACAAAACUGCUUGAGUGCUGUGUUUGUUAACAAAACUACUCGAGUGCCAGUGUUUGUUAUCAAAACUGCUUGAGUGGCUGUGUUUGUUAUCAAAACUACUCGAGUGCCAGUGUUUGUUAACAAAACUGCUUGAGUGCCUGUGUUUGUUAUCAAAACUACUGGAGUGCCAGUGUUUGUUGAUAUCAUUAAAAUGCUAUUACCUAGCAUUGUAUGUUAAACCAGUGUUUGAAGGGUGAAUUAAUUAAAAAGUAGUAUACAUUAAA